GUGCCAGCAGCCGCGGUAAUACGUAGGUGGCAAGCGUUGUCCGGAUUUACUGGGCGUAAAGCGUAUGCAGGCGGAGGGUUAAGUAGGAAGUGAAAGGUUGGGGCUCAACCCUAACACGGCUCCCUAUACUGGCCCUCUUGAGUGCCGGAGAGGAAGAUGGAACGACCCGUGUAGCGGUGAAAUGCGUUGAGAUGGGUCGGAACACCAAUGGCGAAAGCAAUCUUCUGGACGGAAACUGACGCUGAGAUACGAAAGCCAAGGGAGCGAACAGGAUUAGAAACCCUUGUAGUCC
rnacentral:rRNA from 1 species